rnacentral:rRNA from 1 species
CAAGUCGUACGGUAAGGCCCUUUCGGGGGUACACGAGUGGCGAACGGGUGAGUAACACGUGAGUAACCUGCCCACAACUUUGGGAUAACGCUAGGAAACUGGUGCUAAUACUGGAUAUGUGCUCCUGCUGCAUGGUGGGGGUUGGAAAGCUCCGGCGGUUGUGGAUGGACUCGCGGCCUAUCAGCUUGUUGGUGGGGUAGUGGCCUACCAAGGCGGCGACGGGUAGCCGGCCUGAGAGGGUGACCGGCCACAUUGGGACUGAGAUACGGCCCAGACUCCUACGGGAGGCAGCAGUGGGGAAUAUUGCACAAUGGGCGCAAGCCUGAUGCAGCAACGCCGCGUGCGGGAUGACGGCCUUCGGGUUGUAAACCGCUUUCAGCAGGGACGAAGCUUUUUGUGACGGUACCUGCAGAAGAAGCACCGGCUAACUACGUGCCAGCAGCCGCGGUGAUACGUAGGGUGCGAGCGUUGUCCGGAUUUAUUGGGCGUAAAGGGCUCGUAGGCGGUUGAUCGCGUCGGAAGUGGAAACUUGAUGCUUAACGUUGAGCGUGCUUUCGAUACGGGUUGACUUGAGGAAGGUAGGGGAGAAUGGAAUUCCUGGUGGAGCGGUGGAAUGCGCAGAUAUCAGGAGGAACACCAGUGGCGAAGGCGGUUCUCUGGACCUUUCCUGACGCUGAGGAGCGAAAGCGUGGGGAGCGAACAGGCUUAGAUACCCUGGUAGUCCACGCUGUAAACGGUGGGUACUAGGUGUGGGGUCCAUUCCCGGAUUCUGUGCCGUAGCUAACGCAUUAAGUACCCCGCCUGGGGAGUAC